rnacentral:rRNA from 1 species
AUUGAACGCUGGCGGCAUGCUUCACACAUGCAAGUCGAACGGCAGCAUGGGUGCUUGCACCUGAUGGCGAGUGGCGAACGGGUGAGUAAUGUAUCGGAACAUGUCCGGAAGUGGGGGAUAACGUAGCGAAAGUUACGCUAAUACCGCAUAUGCCCUGAGGGGGAAAGGUGGGGAUCGCAAGACCUAUCGCUUUCGGAGUGGCCGAUAUCAGAUUAGCUUGUUGGUGAGGUAAAGGCUCACCAAGGCGACGACCUGUAGCUGGUCUGAGAGGACGAUCAGCCACACUGGGACUGAGACACGGCCCAGACUCCUACGGGAGGCAGCAGUGGGGAAUUUUGGACAAUGGGCGAAAGCCUGAUCCAGCAAUGCCGCGUGUGUGAAGAGGGCCUUCGGGUUGUAAAGCACUUUUGUCCGGAAAGAAAUGGCUCUGGUUAAUACCUGGGGUCGAUGACGGUACCGGAAGAAUAAGGACCGGCUAACUACGUGCCAGCCGCCGCAGUAAGAC